CCUUGGCAUACCUAUUUAUACCUCUCAUAUGCUUUUGAAAGCCAUUCCAAACUUGGAUCGGACAGGUAUCACCGGCGCGGUUGUCUGCGAAUGCGAGAACUUCAAGCCAAUCCCGGGAACAGAGAAAGUGAUCGAUGGUAUUGAUGUCAUUAAUAUAUGUACAGGAUUGAUUCCCGACAACCAAUUGCUAACCAAAGGCCAAUAUACAUUUGGAAAACGUUGUGCCGGCGUAGGUGAUGCCGUACGGAUCGGAGAAGGUACUACCGCCGUACUAAGAGGAAAGCAAGCCGCUUAUGAGAUCGCCCAAGAGCUAGGCGUACGUUUCAACUACAACGAUUACUUACAAAUAUCUAAGGAAUACAUCGACUCCCAGCAACAUCCGAUCCGCAUCAAGGAAGAGUCCCCAAGGCCCACUCCCGAGCGUCAAGCCCAACGCCCUUUCGUUCGCUUGGAUUGCCUAUACGGUUUCGCUUGUAACCCUUGCUCUUUCGCUUGUCCUCAAAAGGCGAUCACCAAAAGCUCCACCAGCGUAACGCCCGAGAUCAAUUACGAAAAAUGUACCGGCUGUAUGCAAUGCGUAUCCCAUUGUCCGGGGCUGGCUAUUUUCGGCUACGAUACCCGGAAGCAAAACUUAUUCUUACCGGUAGAAUACGAGGUAGAAGUAGGUGCCGAGGUGUGGCUCGUCGAUGAUAACGGGAAGAAACAAGGCGAAGGUAUCAUUGAGAAAGUAUUAAAGAAGCCGACAAAAACAAACGUGGCCCGUGUGAAAGCGGCAGGAAUGGAAAACGAUGCCUUAUUGAAUAUCACAGGAUUCAUCGUAAAAGAAAACUAUCCGGAGGAGAUCGACUUCAAGCAAGAGCCGGAGUGUGAGUCUGAGACCUAUGUUUGCCAUUGCGAGGACGUAUCUUUGGACAAGCUACUUUCCGCCAUUGGGGAUCGUAAAUAUAUCUCCGUCGACGAGGUAAAACAUAUCACCCGCCUAGGAAUGGGGCCAUGCCGUGGAAAACGCUGCAUACCCCGCCUACGCAUGAAACUAAGGGAAAAAGGUAUCGAACUGGUAGGCGACGCUACCCCCCGUGCUCCCCUAUCUACCCGCUUCGUCCUAAGGGAAAUGUAUCCACAGCGUCAGAUAGCGGAUACCUAUAAAGUAGAUUCUGGAAAGCAGGUUCGUAAGACGGAAGUCUUAAUCGCCGGCGGAGGUAUAGGUGGUAGCGCAUUGUUCCGUUAUUUUGCGGAAGCCGGUAAAAAGACCGUGCUUAUUAAUGCGGAUCGAGGAUCAUCAUGGCGUAAUAUCGGUGGUGGUCGUCCAGCGUUCUCGAUCCCCGAAUUAGCGGAGAUCGCCCGUAAUAACCAAACGAUAUUCGAGGAGACACAAAAAGAAUACGAUAUCCAUUACCGUGAGAUACGCUAUAUCACGUUCGCCCACGACGAGGCUACCUACAAUGAUCUGGAACGUUCCUGCGGUUGGUCCAACGCUUAUUUGAUCGACAAGAAAGACUUCCAGAAAGAGGUGUCCCCCUACUUCAACACGAACCAAAACACCUAUUUCGCCGCACAAAUCUCCCAGCAUUGUUGGCAAGCUACCCCGGGGCGUGUGAUAGACUUUAUACGAAACAAAGGCAAAGAGCGGCAAGGUGAGGUUUGGGAAGACACACACCUAGUGGAAGUACACAAAAACGGUAGAAAAUAUCACGUCUUAUUAUAUACGCAUGAUAAGCGAUACAUCGAAUACGAAUGCGAUCAUUUCGUGAACGCCCUCGGUUAUAGCGCCGAGCGUUUCGCCCGCAUGCUAGGCCUUUACACCGGCCUCUAUCCGGUCAAGCACCAAGCGUUGAUUACCCAUCGCCUACCGAAUCUGGGUAAAAACGGGGAUAUCCUCGAUAUGUUGAUAGACCGCCGGAAACGUAACGACUUCUCCGCUGUCUCAACCGCGAACUCGGUGAAAUUGCAGUACGAGUAAAGAUGCUCGUUAAGCGCAGAAGGACGAAAAGACCCCGGGACCUUUACUAUACCUUGGUAUUGGCGUUAGGCGCGGAUUGUGUAGCAUAGGCGGGAGGCUUCGAAGCGUGGGCGCCAGCCCGUGUGGAGCCGCAAGGUGAAAUACCGCUCUGUUCUCGUUUGACGUCUAACCUCGAACAGUCAUCCUGUUCAGGGACAGUGCCUGGCGGGUAGUUUAACUGGGGCGGUUGCCUCCCAAAGAGUAACGGAGGCGCUCAAAGGUCCGCUCAGCCCGGUUGGCAAUCGGGUUUCGAGUGUAAUCGCACAAGCGGGCUUGACUGCGAGAACGACGGUUCGGGCAGGGACGAAAGUCGGAGAUAGUGAUCCGGUGCCGGCGCACGGGCGCGGCAUCGCUCAACGGAUAAAAGGUACCCCGGGGAUAACAGGCUGAUCAUUCCCAAGAGUCCAUAUCGACGGGAUGGUUUGGCACCUCGAUGUCGGCUCGUCGCAUCCUGGGGCUGGAGCAGGUCCCAAGGGUUCGGCUGUUCGCCGAUUAAAGCGGCACGCGAGCUGGGUUCAGAACGUCGUGAGACAGUUUGGUCUCUAUCCUCUGCGCUCGUUGGAAUCCUGAGGAGGCCUGCCCAUAGUACGAGAGGACCUGGGUGGACGGACCUCUGGUAUGCCGGUUGUCGCGCCAGCGGCAUGGCCGGUUGGCUACGUUCGGGAGGGAUAACCGCUGAAAGCAUCUAAGCGGGAAGCCUGCUCCAAGAUUAGGAUUCCUUGGCACUUCGGUGCCUGUAGCCCGCAUGUUGAACACGUGUUCGAUAGGCCGGAGGUGGAAGCCCCGCGAGGGGUGGAGCCGACCGGUACUAACGGGCGAACGCGGCACAC
rnacentral:rRNA from 1 species